UGGGGAAUAUUGCACAAUGGGCGCAAGCCUGAUGCAGCCAUGCCGCGUGUGUGAAGAAGGCCUUCGGGUUGUAAAGCACUUUCAGCGAGGAGGAAGGUGGUGAGCUUAAUACGCUCAUCAAUUGACGUUACUCGCAGAAGAAGCACCGGCUAACUCCGUGCCAGCAGCCGCGGUAAUACGGAGGGUGCAAGCGUUAAUCGGAAUUACUGGGCGUAAAGCGCACGCAGGCGGUUUGUUAAGUCAGAUGUGAAAUCCCCGGGCUCAACCUGGGAACUGCAUUUGAAACUGGCAAGCUAGAGUCUCGUAGAGGGGGGUAGAAUUCCAGGUGUAGCGGUGAAAUGCGUAGAGAUCUGGAGGAAUACCGGUGGCGAAGGCGGCCCCCUGGACGAAGACUGACGCUCAGGUGCGAAAGCGUGGGGCAGCAAACAGGAUUAGAUACCCUGGUAGUCCACGCUGUAAACGAUGUCGAUUUUGGNGGUUGUGCCCUUGAGGCGUGGCUUCCGGAGCUAACGCGUUAAAUCGACCGCCUGGGGAGUACGGCCGCAAGGUUAAAACUUAAAGGAAUUGACGGGGUCAUAGCUGUUUCCU
rnacentral:rRNA from 1 species